rnacentral:ncRNA from 1 species
UCUCCUGACGCUGAGGCACGAAAGCUAGGGUAGCGAAACAGAUUAGAGACCUGUGUAGUCCUAGCCGUAAACUAUCCCCGCUAGAUUCUGGUCGCAAGGCCGGAGUCGCAGUUAACACAUUAAGCGGGGCGCCUGGGGAGUACGGCCGCAAGGCUAAAACUCAAAGGAAUUGACGGGGACCCGCACAACCAGUGGAGCGUGUGGUUCAAUUUGAGACGAAGCAAAAAACCUCACCAGGGAUUGACAUGUAUUCGUUCACUCCGAUGGAAACAUUGGAGGAUCCCACCUUCAAGAGCAGAAAAAACAGAAUUUCAAAUGAAAUUGGGCAUUUGGAAUUUGAAAUUAGAAAUUUGAAAUUCAAAAACAUUUAUGUUUUUGAAGGUGGGAUGAUUACACAGGUGUUGCAUGGCUGUCGUCAGCUCGUGCCGUGAGGUGUUCCCUUAAGUGGGGAAACGAGUGCAACCCCUAUUCUAUGUUAAAUAUUCAUAGAAGACUGCCCCGUUUUUUACGGGGAGGAAGGAGGGGCGGACGUCAAGUCAGCAUGACCCUUAUACCCUGGGCUACACACACCCUACAAUGGCGAAAAACAAUGGGUUGCAAACCGGUAACGGCAAGCUAAUCCCUGAAAUUUCGCCUCAGUUCAGAUUGGGGUCUGAAACCCGACCCCAUGAAGUCGGAAUUGGUAGUAAUCGCGGAUCAGCAGGCCGCGGUGAAUACGUUCUCGGGUCUUGUACACACCGCCCGUCAAGGCAGCAAAGUCGGUAGCUAUCGAACCCCGCUUAGCGGGGGAGAUAGAGAUCGGUGAUGAAGCUUAAGUCGUAACAAGGUAUCCCUAGCCGAAGCUGGGGAUGGAUCACCUCCUUU